rnacentral:rRNA from 1 species
UUGAAUUGAAGAGUUUGAUCAUGGCUCAGAUUGAACGCUGGCGGCAGGCUUAACACAUGCAAGUCGAACGGUAACAGGAGAAAGCUUGCUUUCUUGCUGACGAGUGGCGGACGGGUGAGUAAUGCUUGGGAAUCUAGCUUAUGGAGGGGGAUAACU